CAGGUAACAUCAAAUCGUACCCCAAACCGACACAGGUGGUCAGGUAGAGAAUACCAAGGCGCUUGAGAGAACUCGGGUGAAGGAACUAGGCAAAAUGGUGCCGUAACUUCGGGAGAAGGCACGCUGAUAUGUAGGUGAAGUCCCUCGCGGAUGGAGCUGAAAUCAGUCGAAGAUACCAGCUGGCUGCAACUGUUUAUUAAAAACACAGCACUGUGCAAACACGAAAGUGGACGUAUACGGUGUGACGCCUGCCCGGUGCCGGAAGGUUAAUUGAUGGGGUCAGCGCAAGCGAAGCUCUUGAUCGAAGCCCCGGUAAACGGCGGCCGUAACUAUAACGGUCCUAAGGUAGCGAAAUUCCUUGUCGGGUAAGUUCCGACCUGCACGAAUGGCGUAAUGAUGGCCAGGCUGUCUCCACCCGAGACUCAGUGAAAUUGAACUCGCUGUGAAGAUGCAGUGUACCCGCGGCAAGACGGAAAGACCCCGUGAACCUUUACUAUAGCUUGACACUGAACAUUGAGCCUUGAUGUGUAGGAUAGGUGGGAGGCUUUGAAGUGUGGACGCCAGUCUGCAUGGAGCCGACCUUGAAAUACCACCCUUUAAUGUUUGAUGUUCUAACGUGGACCCGUGAUCCGGGUUGCGGACAGUGUCUGGUGGGUAGUUUGACUGGGGCGGUCUCCUCCUAAAGAGUAACGGAGGAGCACGAAGGUUGGCUAAUCCUGGUCGGACAUCAGGAGGUUAGUGCAAUGGCAUAAGCCAGCUUGACUGCGAGCGUGACGGCGCGAGCAGGUGCGAAAGCAGGUCAUAGUGAUCCGGUGGUUCUGAAUGGAAGGGCCAUCGCUCAACGGAUAAAAGGUACUCCGGGGAUAACAGGCUGAUACCGCCCAAGAGUUCAUAUCGACGGCGGUGUUUGGCACCUCGAUGUCGGCUCAUCACAUCCUGGGGCUGAAGUAGGUCCCAAGGGUAUGGCUGUUCGCCAUUUAAAGUGGUACGCGAGCUGGGUUUAGAACGUCGUGAGACAGUUCGGUCCCUAUCUGCCGUGGGCGCUGGAGAACUGAGGGGGGCUGCUCCUAGUACGAGAGGACCGGAGUGGACGCAUCACUGGUGUUCGGGUUGUCAUGCCAAUGGCACUGCCCGGUAGCUAAAUGCGGAAGAGAUAAGUGCUGAAAGCAUCUAAGCACGAAACUUGCCCCGAGAUGAGUUCUCCCUGACCCUUUAAGGGUCCUGAAGGAACGUUGAAGACGACGACGUUGAUAGGCCGGGUGUGUAAGCGCAGCGAUGCGUUGAGCUAACCGGUACUAAUGAACCGUGAGGCUUAACCUU
rnacentral:rRNA from 1 species